GAGAGUGUUCAUAUCCAGCCCUCUGCAGAGACUCUAAAAUUCAAAUAAUAAUGAAAUGGUAUGAAAAUCAGUUUAUUGUUCAACUUAUUCAUGUACUGGAAAAUGUUGGAAAGGACAAGAAACAGAACACCAAGAAAAAUGACAUACCACUAAAUAUUUUCUACCUCUAACGUAUUUGUAAUAGCAGCGAGGAUGUAAUUGCAGUUCCGGAGCUUCUCAUAUCUUGUCUUGUUCUAUUGCCAGCGUUCCUUCUAAAUUGAGAAAAUGGAAAGAUCAUAUAUACAUACACCAAAAAAAUAAAAAAGGGAAAAAAACAGAUGAUCGAAUCAAGAUACCACCUUCCAAGUGUCCUUAGCAUAAAUACCAGAUAUCAAUUUAUCAAUUAGAAUUUUCAGAAAUGUCAACAAGUGAAAUUGGUCCUUACAACUUAAUUUUAUUGCUUGUGUUUUUACUGCUGUCCACUUUGCAUGACUCAUCCGGCAGCAAUUAAUCUUCAAAACUUAUCAUUUCAAUUUUCAGAU
rnacentral:misc_RNA from 1 species